CUGUCCUACGGGGGGCAGCAGUAGGGAAUUUUCGUCAAUGGGCGCAAGCCUGAACGAGCAAUGCCGCGUGAACGAGGAAGGUCUUCGGAUCGUAAAGUUCUGUUGAAGGGGAAAAAGAGCGGAGAGAGGAAAUGGUCUCCGAUUGAUAUUACCCUUCGAGGAAGUCACGGCUAACUACGUGCCAGCAGCCGCGGUAAUACGUAGGUGGCGAGCGUUAUCCGGAUUUACUGGGUGUAAAGGGCGUGCAGCCGGGAAGACAAGUCAGAUGUGAAAUCCCGCGGCUCAACCGCGGAACUGCAUUUGAA
rnacentral:rRNA from 1 species